rnacentral:rRNA from 1 species
AACGAGCGCUGGCGGCAUGCCUAACACAUGCAAGUCGAACGAGACCUUCGGGUCUAGUGGCGCACGGGUGCGUAACGCGUGGGAACCUGCCCUUAGGUUCGGAAUAACUCCCCGAAAGGGGUGCUAAUACCGGAUAAUGUCUUCGGACCAAAGAUUUAUCGCCUUUGGAUGGGCCCGCGUUGGAUUAGCUAGUUGGUAGGGUAAAAGCCUACCAAGGCGACGAUCCAUAGCUGGUCUGAGAGGAUGAUCAGCCACACUGGGACUGAGACACGGCCCAGACUCCUACGGGAGGCAGCAGUGGGGAAUAUUGGACAAUGGGCGAAAGCCUGAUCCGGCAAUGCCGCGUGAGUGAUGAAGGCCUUAGGGUUGUAAAGCUCUUUUACCCGGGAUGAUAAUGACAGUACCGGGAGAAUAAGCUCCGGCUAACUCCGUG